GAUGAACGCUGGCGGCGUGCCUAAUACAUGCAAGUCGAGCGAACAGACGAGGAGCUUGCUCCUUUGACGUUAGCGGCGGACGGGUGAGUAACGCGUAGGUAACCUACCUAUAAGACUGGGAUAACUUCGGGAAACCGGAGCUAAUACCGGAUAAUAUUUCGAACCGCAUGGUUCGAUAGUGAAAGAUGGCUUUGCUAUCACUUAUAGAUGGACCUGCGCCGUAUUAGCUAGUUGGUAAGGUAACGGCUUACCAAGGCAACGAUACGUAGCCGACCUGAGAGAGUGAUAGGCCACACUGGAACUGAGACACGGUCAAGACGCCUACGGGAGGCAGCAGUAGGGAAUGUGACGCAAUGGGCGAAAGCCUGACGGAGCAACGCCGCGUGAGUGAUGAAGGUCUUCGGAUCGUAAAACUCUGUUAUUAGGGAAGAACAAACGUGUAAGUAACUGUGCACGUCGUGACGGUACCUAAUCAGAAAGCCACGGCUAACUACGUG
rnacentral:rRNA from 1 species